CGCACGGUGGAUGCCUUGACACUAGGAGUCGAUGAAGGACGGGACUAACGCCGAUAUGCUUCGGGGAGCUGUAAGUAAGCUUUGAUCCGAAGAUUUCCGAAUGGGGAAACCCACCAUACGUAAUGGUAUGGUAUCCUUAUCUGAAUACAUAGGGUAAGGAAGACAGACCCAGGGAACUGAAACAUCUAAGUACCUGGAGGAAGAGAAAGCAAAUGCGAUUUCCUGAGUAGCGGCGAGCGAAACGGAACAUAGCCCAAACCAAGAGGCUUGCCUCUUGGGGUUGUAGGACAUUCUAUACGGAGUUACAAAGGAACGAGGUAGACGAAGCGACCUGGAAAGGUCCGUCGUAGAGGGUAACAACCCCGUAGUCGAAACUUCGUUCUCUCUUGAAUGUAUCCUGAGUACGGCGGAACACGUGAAAUUCCGUCGGAAUCUGGGAGGACCAUCUCCCAAGGCUAAAUACUCCCUAGUGAUCGAUAGUGAACCAGUACCGUGAGGGAAAGGUGAAAAGCACCCCGGAAGGGGAGUGAAAGAGAUCCUGAAACCGUGUGCCUACAAAUAGUCAGAGCCCGUUAACGGGUGAUGGCGUGCCUUUUGUAGAAUGAACCGGCGAGUUACGAUCCCGUGCGAGGUUAAGCUGAAGAGGCGGAGCCGCAGCGAAAGCGAGUCUGAAUAGGGCGUUUAGUACGUGGUCGUAGACCCGAAACCAGGUGAUCUACCCAUGUCCAGGGUGAAGUUCAGGUAACACUGAAUGGAGGCCCGAACCCACGCACGUUGAAAAGUGCGGGGAUGAGGUGUGGGUAGCGGAGAAAUUCCAAUCGAACCUGGAGAUAGCUGGUUCUCCCCGAAAUAGCUUUAGGGCUAGCCUUAAGUGUAAGAGUCUUGGAGGUAGAGCACUGAUUGGACUAGGGGUCCUCAUCGGAUUACCGAAUUCAGUCAAACUCCGAAUGCCAAUGACUUAUCCUUAGGAGUCAGACUGCGAGUGAUAAGAUCCGUAGUCAAAAGGGAAACAGCCCAGACCGCCAGCUAAGGUCCCAAAGUGUGUAUUAAGUGGAAAAGGAUGUGGAGUUGCUUAGACAACUAGGAUGUUGGCUUAGAAGCAGCCACCAUUUAAAGAGUGCGUAAUAGCUCACUAGUCGAGUGACUCUGCGCCGAAAAUGUACCGGGGCUAAAUACACCACCGAAGCUGCGGAUUGAUACCGAAUGGUAUCAGUGGUAGGGGAGCGUUCUAAGGACAGUGAAGUCAGACCGUAAGGACUGGUGGAGUGCUUAGAAGUGAGAAUGCCGGUAUGAGUAGCGAAAGACGGGUGAGAAUCCCGUCCACCGAAUGCCUAAGGUUUCCUGAGGAAGGCUCGUCCGCUCAGGGUUAGUCAGGACCUAAGCCGAGGCCGACAGGCGUAGGCGAUGGACAACAGGUUGAUAUUCCUGUACCACCUCUUUAUCGUUUGAGCAAUGGAGGGACGCAGAAGGAUAGAAGAAGCGUGCGAUUGGUUGUGCACGUCCAAGCAGUUAGGCUGAUAAGUAGGCAAAUCCGCUUAUCAUAAAGGCUGAGCUGUGAUGGGGAAGCUCCUUAUGGAGCGAAGUCUUUGAUUCCCCGCUGCCAAGAAAAGCUUCUAGCGAGAUAAAAGGUGCCUGUACCGCAAACCGACACAGGUAGGCGAGGAGAGAAUCCUAAGGUGUGCGAGAGAACUCUGGUUAAGGAACUCGGCAAAAUGACCCCGUAACUUCGGGAGAAGGGGUGCUUUCUUAACGGAAAGCCGCAGUGUAAUAGGCCCAAGCGACUGUUUAGCAAAAACACAGCUCUCUGCGAAGCCGUAAGGCGAAGUAUAGGGGGUGACACCUGCCCGGUGCUGGAAGGUUAAGGAGAGGGGUUAGCGUAAGCGAAGCUCUGAACUGAAGCCCCAGUAAACGGCGGCCGUAACAAUAACGGUCCUAAGGUAGCGAAAUUCCUUGUCGGGUAAGUUCCGACCCGCACGAAAGGUGUAACGAUUUGGGCACUGUCUCAACCAGAGACUCGGUGAAAUUAUAGUACCUGUGAAGAUGCAGGUUACCCGCGACAGGACGGAAAGACCCCGUGGAGCUUUACUGUAGCCUGAUAUUGAAUUUUGGUACAGUUUGUACAGGAUAGGCGGGAGCCAUUGAAACCGGAGCGCUAGCUUCGGUGGAGGCGCUGGUGGGAUACCGCCCUGACUGUAUUGAAAUUCUAACCUACGGGUCUUAUCGACCCGGGAGACAGUGUCAGGUGGGCAGUUUGACUGGGGCGGUCGCCUCCUAAAGUGUAACGGAGGCGCCCAAAGGUUCCCUCAGAAUGGUUGGAAAUCAUUCGUAGAGUGCAAAGGCAUAAGGGAGCUUGACUGCGAGACCUACAAGUCGAGCAGGGACGAAAGUCGGGCUUAGUGAUCCGGUGGUUCCGCAUGGAAGGGCCAUCGCUCAACGGAUAAAAGCUACCCCGGGGAUAACAGGCUUAUCUCCCCCAAGAGUCCACAUCGACGGGGAGGUUUGGCACCUCGAUGUCGGCUCAUCGCAUCCUGGGGCUGUAGUCGGUCCCAAGGGUUGGGCUGUUCGCCCAUUAAAGCGGUACGCGAGCUGGGUUCAGAACGUCGUGAGACAGUUCGGUCCCUAUCCGUCGUGGGCGUAGGAAAUUUGAGAGGAGCUGUCCUUAGUACGAGAGGACCGGGAUGGACGCACCGCUGGUGUACCAGUUGUUCUGCCAAGGGCAUAGCUGGGUAGCUAUGUGCGGAAGGGAUAAGUGCUGAAAGCAUCUAAGCAUGAAGCCCCCCUCAAGAUGAGAUUUCCCAUAGCGUAAGCUAGUAAGAUCCCUGAAAGAUGAUCAGGUUGAUAGGUUCGAGGUGGAAGCAUGGUGACAUGUGGAGCUGACGAAUACUAAUAGAUCGAGG
rnacentral:rRNA from 1 species